rnacentral:rRNA from 1 species
CAGCCGCCGCGGGAAUACGGAGGGUGCAAGCGUUAAUCGGAUUUACUGGGCGUAAAGCGUGCGUAGGCGGCUUUUUAAGUCGGAUGUGAAAUCCCUGAGCUUAACUUAGGAAUUGCAUUCGAUACUGGGAAGCUAGAGUAUGGGAGAGGAUGGUAGAAUUCCAGGUGUAGCGGUGAAAUGCGUAGAGAUCUGGAGGAAUACCGAUGGCGAAGGCAGCCAUCUGGCCUAAUACUGACGCUGAGGUACGAAAGCAUGGGGAGCAAACAGGAUUAGAUACCCGCGUAGUCCCUGUCUCUUAUAC